rnacentral:tRNA from 1 species
AGGGCAGUAGUUCAGUUGGUAGAGCAGCGGUCUCCAAAACCGCCUGUCGUGGGUUCAAGUCCUGCCUGCCCUG